GCCUACGGGAGGCAGCAGUGAGGAAUAUUAGUCAAUGGGCUUACGCCUGAACCAGCCAAGUCGCGUGAGGGAAGACUGCCCUAUGGGUUGUAAACCUCUUUUGUCAGGGAGCAACGCCGGCUACGUGUGGCCGGACUGAGAGUACCUGAAGAAAAAGCAUCGGCUAACUCCGUGCCAGCAGCCGCGGUAAUACGGAGGAUGCGAGCGUUAUCCGGAUUUAUUGGGUUUAAAGGGUGCGUAGGCGGAAUGCCAAGUCAGCGGUAAAAUCGCGGGGCUCAACCUCGCUUCGCCGUUGAAACUGGCGU
rnacentral:rRNA from 1 species